GACAGAGGGUGCGAACGUUGCUCGGAAUUACUGGGCGUAAAGCGUGCGUAGACGGUUAUAUAAGUCGGGUGUGAAAGCCCCGGGCUCAACCUGGGAAUUGCAUUCGAGACUGCAUAGCUAGGGUGCGGAAGAGGGAAGCGGAAUUUCCGGUGUAGCGGUGAAAUGCGUAGAUAUCGGAAGGAACAUCAGUGGCGAAAGCGGCUUCCUGGUCCAGCACCGACGUUCAGGCACGAAAGCGUGGGGAGCAAACAGG
rnacentral:rRNA from 1 species